rnacentral:rRNA from 1 species
AUUGAACGCUGGCGGCAGGCCUAACACAUGCAAGUCGAGCGGUAACACAGAGAGCUUGCUCUCGGGUGACGAGCGGCGGACGGGUGAGUAAUGUCUGGGAAACUGCCUGAUGGAGGGGGGUAACUACUGGAAACGGUAGCUAAUACCGCAUAAUGUCGCAAGACCAAAGAGGGGGACCUUAGGGCCUCUUGCCAUCGGAUGUGCCCAGAUGGGAUUAGCUAGUAGGUG